rnacentral:rRNA from 1 species
AUGGGCCAGUUCAGGCGUGCUCUGAAUACUUGCCAUCUCAAGGAGAUAAAACUACAGAACAGGAAGUUCACCUGGAGCAAUGAAAGGGAGAACCCCACUCUCGAGAGGCUGGACCGCGCUUUUUGCAACCCGAGCUGGGAUUUGACUUUCGAAAGUCAUGUCUUGCACGCUCUUUCGUCAUCCUUGUCGGACCACUGCCCCCUCCUCCUUUUCAACCAGAGUGGGCCCCGUAAACCUGCGACUUUCCGCUUUGAAACCUUCUGGACUAAAAUGCCGGGUUUCCAAGAGACGGUUCUACAGGCAUGGUCAGCGCCCUCUUCUCACACUCAGCCGGUGCACGUAAUCAACCACAAGCUCAAGACCACCGCGCUCAGCUUGCGAUCCUGGAGCAGGGGUCUCUUCUCUAACUGCAAGCUUCAGCUCUCCAUGGCUCUGGAGGUCAUUCUCCAGUUAGAUGUCGCCCAGGAUUCUCGCCCCCUGUCCACGGAAGAGAGGGCCCUCCGUGCUGGCCUUAAAAGACGGAUUCUAGGGUUGGUGGCCUUGGAACGCUCUAGAAAACGUCAGGCCUCCAGAAUCAACUAUCUUCGCGAUGGAGACGCCAACACAAAGUUCUUUCAUCUGCGGAUUAACUCGAGGAAACGCAAGAACCAUAUCCAAAGGCUCAAACAUAAUGAUGGUUGGCUGACAACACAUGAAUAUAAGGAGAACGUCAUUCUCGAACACUUCUCCAAGACCUUGGGUCGCCCUCCCCUCCGGCAGCUAGACUUCAAUUGGAUGGUCGUUGAUCCUAGCACCCAUGCUUUGGAAGAUCUCGACCUCCCCUUCUCUGAGUUGGAAAUUAAGGAGGCGAUCGAUGAUAUGCCUUCAGAAAAGGCCCCCGGCCCCGAUGGAUUUUCCAUUGCUUUCUUUCAAUCAUGCUGGGAUAUUGUCAAAGAUGAUCUCAUGAGGGCCAUCACUUCUUUCUCCGAGCAGUCAGCUUCUAAUUUCGCCAUCCUCAACACAGCUAACAUCGUCCUCAUUCCAAAGAAGGACGGUGCGGAAGCCAUCACGGAUUUCAGGCCAAUAAGCCUCAUCCACGUGGUCCCGAAGAUUAUCGCUAAAGCUAUGGCUCGCCGGCUCGGUCCGAAGAUGGAUGCUAUUGUUUCUCGCUGCCAAAGUGCCUUCAUCAAAACAAGAACCAUACAUGACAACUUUAUGUAUGUCAGAAACACCGCUCGCAGUCUCCAUCGCAGCAAAACUCCGGCUCUCCUCAUAAAGCUGGACAUUGCCAAAGCUUUCGACACAGUUCGCUGGGACUAUCUACUCGACCUUCUGCGCCGUCUCGGCUUUCCUCCUAGAUGGCGUGCUCUGCUAUCCAGCCUCUUCUCCUCGGCCACUUCUAGAGUAAUCCUUAACGGUAUCCCCGGUAAGGACUUUGCUCACGGCCAAGGACUUCGCCAAGGAGACCCGCUAUCCCCCCUGCUUUUCGAUAUCGCCAUCGACCCGCUGCAACAAAUUCUGGAUAAAGCAACUGCGUCUGGUUUGAUGAGCGAAAGUCCUGGAGGUUCACAACAUCCUCGGAUCUCUCUUUACGCUGAUGAUGCUGCCAUCUUCAUUGCCCCUUCGGUGCAGGAUAUAUCCUGCCUGGCAAAUAUUCUUCAAGGCUUCGGGGAGGUUACGGGCAUGGUGACCAAUGUGGCUAAGAGCUCUAUUGCCCCAAUUCGCUGCUCCGAUGUUGACCUCACCGCAGUUCUGGCAAACUUCUCGGCGACUAUCACCCAGUUCCCUCUCAAGUAUUUGGGGUUGCCCUUGUCGCUUGGUAGACUCAGAAGGACCGACCUUCAGCCAUACAUUGAUAAAGCUGCGUCAAGGUUGAACCCUCUGAAAGGAAGAUUCCUAAAUCGGGCGGGGUGCUGCACUUAUGUGAAAUCUGUCCUUUCUUCCAUGCCGAUCUUCCUCCUGACCGCUAUCAAAGUGGAUAAAGGCUUCCUAAGGGCUAUGGCCAAGAUCUGUCGCGGUAUGCUAUGGGACUGCAAGGAAUCUGUCAGCGGUGGGAAAUGCAAGGUCAACUGGCAGAAGGUCUGCCGCCCUAAGGAGCUUGGUGGGUUGGGGAUCCUAGAUUUGGAAAGGUUCUCCCGCGCCCUUAGACUUCGCUGGCUUUGGGACGAAUGGAAGGCUCCUGAAAAACCUUGGGUAGGUCUUGAAACUCCUAACGAUGCCUCAGAUAGACAGCUCUUCAACGCCGCGACUCGUGUUACUAUCGGGGAUGGCAAGAAGGCCUCCUUUUGGUCUUCCUCAUGGCUUGACGGCAAGCCACCGAAAGAUAUGGCACCUCUGAUCUUCAAAGCUUCGAGGAGGAAAAACCGAACGGUCCAUGAUGCCCUUACUGAACAUACCUGGGUAGCGGAUAUUGCGGUGGAGGCCUUCACGGCAGAGCACAUUGGCCAGUUCGUCCAGCUAUGGGAUCUCAUCUCAGAUAUCCAGCUCUCCCCAGAUAUAGAAGAUUCCAUCAUCUGGACCCUCUCCCCAAAUGGAUGCUACUCCGCGAGCUCCGCCUAUAAGGCGCAGUUCAUGACCGCGCUGCCUUGCUCCUUCGGCUCGAUUGUCUGGAAAACGUGGGCGCCUCCCAAAUGCCGCUUCUUCGCUUGGCUCGCCGUCCAAAAUCGCCUCUGGACCGCGGAUCGCCUGGCCAAACGUGGAUGGCCACACCAGCCCUCCUGCCAGCUAUGCCGGUGCUCCCCUGAGACGGCGAGACACAUGCUCUUCGAAUGCCGUUACUCCAAGAGGAUCUGGUCCGCGGCGGCAUCCUGGCUCUCCUGCCCGGAAUUACUGCUUAACAUGGGCUCUGGUCGCCCCAAGGUGGUGGACUACUGGCAGGCCUUAGCUAGGUCGCCCUCUUCCUCUCCCAAAGGUCUAAAAACGGCUAUCAUGCUCAUCACCUGGGAAAUCUGGAAGGAAAGAAAUGAGAGAGUCUUCAACAAGAAAUCCUCUCUGCCGGUGGUGGUCAUGCACAAGAUAAGAGAGGUAGCAAAAGAUUGGAUUCUAGCGGGAGCAAAAAACCUGGCGGAUCUUGUGGGCUGA